rnacentral:rRNA from 1 species
UAAAUAAGCGGAGGAAAAGAAACUAACUAGGAUUGGAUUAGUAACUGCGAGUGAAUGUCCAUGGGCCCAGUUUUUGAAUCGAGACGUUUUGUUUUGAAUUGUGGACUGCCGCGUCUUGUGCGARUCUGUUGACCGAGACCUCUGGAAGGGGGCAGAUUGGAGGGUGCACCUCUCUCGCGUCUGUUGGAUGAGUAWUGAGAUUGCCAGGAGUCGAGUUGUUUGGGAUUGCAGCUCCAAUUGGGUGGUAAAUUCCAUCCAAGGCUAAAUACUGGGAAGAGACCAAUAGCAUACAAGUACCUUGAGGGAAAGAUGCAAAGUCACGCAAAAGCGUAGUGAAAAAGUACCUGAAAUUGCUGAAAGGGAAGCGAGAAGAAUUGGUGUAAGCCAAUUUGCGUUGAUUGAAAUUGCGUGCAAUUUUGGUUGAUGCAUUUGGUGGUGUCGUGCGGGUACCUGU